rnacentral:lncRNA from 1 species
ACAAACUUUUAGAUUGUUGACACGAACGUAUGAAUGUUCAGUACAACUACUACAUUUAUACAUUCAUAAAAAUAUACAUAUUUCAUAUAUGAAUAUAACAAGAUGAAACAAUGAAAUGUCAUCAAAAUAAAUUCAUAAAUACAACUUGUACAUUCAUCAAAAUAACCAUUUAAAACUCCCUAAACGCAACACGUCGUCUUUAUUGGGUACUCCUGCAACAUGGAAAGAAACAUAAAAACUUGUUAGAUAUGAACUCAUUAGGUUUGUAAGUUUUAUCAGUACAAACAUAGGAAUUCUUCAACAACAUAAAGGGGAUUGAGAACUCAAACACACGAACGUUUUAAUGAGUUUUUACAGAUUUGAAUGGGCGAAACAUAUAAACUUAUCAAUAUAAUCAUAUGUUAGUAUGAAGAAAAUGAGUUUUUACAGAUUUGAAUGGGCGAAACAUAUAAACUUAUCAAUAUAAUCAUAUGUUCGUAUGAAGAACCAAAACACACUAACGUUUUAAUGAGUAUGCAGGUUCGUAUGGGUGAAACAUACGAGCUUAUCAAUACAAAUAUACGUUAGUAUCUAUAAACAUAUAUAACACAUACAAAAGUAUGAACUAUCUAUAUGUUCGUGUUUUAUUAGUACUUUCUUGUGAAUUCAUCAAGAACAAAAGGGACAUGAAGAACACGAAGAGACCAGAAGAUAUAUAUUAACAAACUCAUACAUAUCUAUAAGUUUGUAUGAGACAGUGCAAACAUACGUACCACAAAAACCUACGUUCGUCCCAGUGGGUCGUGAAGACAACGUCCGCAUCGGCAAGUGAAAACAAAUGAAUUACUACGUCAUCCAUUCUUCUAGGUGACUUGAACAAAACAUUCGUAUCAGGCAGUGAAACAAACGUACCGCCACAACCAGUGGUCACCGGUGGGACGUGAACAAAACACUUGUAUCAUAUAGAAAAAAACCAGAUAAAAUAAACAAAGAACAUAAUGAAGAAUAUAAAAAAUCGAGAACAAUCAAAUCCACGAAACUCGAAGAACACUAAGAACAAAAGGUUAAAAGAGAGCUCACCUACCUUUUUGAAAUUUGUGUUUCUUCGUGCAAAGAUCCGACAAAACAAACCUAAAUCGAUCAUCCAUUCAAAGAAAUUGAGAGAGAAAAACUCAAAUCAAACAAAACCAUAAAAACAUGAAGAACAUGGAGAACAAGAGCAAAAAAUGGAGAUGACCCACAUUUUUAGGUUUGUUUACAUUCAUCUAGUGUUCUCUUGUGGA